UCCAUCGCGAGGUGGAAUCUGAAGGAAGUCGGAUGGCAAAUCUCCGGUCUGACGAACAGAAAUCACAUCAGGCUAUAGUUAAGGAUAAGGUUGCUAAGCAAACUAAAGUCCAAUAACUACUCGGAAUUAACUAUGGUAAAUGUGGCAGAUAUGUGGAGUGAAAGAAACGUGU
rfam:Roseburia sp. 499 contig000007, whole genome shotgun sequence.